rnacentral:rRNA from 1 species
AAGGAAUUGGCGGGGGAGCACUACAAGGGGUGCGGCGUGCGGUUUAAUCUAAUUCAACGCAGAGAAUCUCACCAGAGGCGACGGCAGGAUGAAGGUCAGUCUAAAGGGCUUACCUGACGAGCCGAGAGGUAGUGCAUGGCCGCCGUCAGCUCGUGCCGUAAGGUGUCCUGUUAAGUCAGGUAACGAGCGAGACCUGUGCUUACAAUUGCUAACAGCAAAAUUUUUGGACUGAGCACAUUGUAAGGACUGCCAUGGAAACGUGGAGGAAGGUGCAGGCAACGGUAGGUCUGUAUGCUCCGAAUCCUCUGGGCUACACGCGCGCAACAAUGGUAUGGACAAUGGGAUACAACUCCGAAAGGAGAAGUUAAUCCUCGAAACCAUAUCUCAGUCCAGAUUGAGGUUUGUAAUUUAGCCUCAUGACGUUGGAAUCCCUAGUAAUCGGAUUUUAUCAUAGUCCGGUGAAUAUGUCCCUGCUCCUUGCACACACCGCCCGUCAAACCACCCGAGUAGGGUUUAGAUGAGGCCUAGUUUUUAACUAGUUCGAAUCUAAGCUCAGCGAGGAGGGUUAAGUCGUCACAAGGUAGCCGUAGGGGAACCUGCGGCUG